UACGUAGGGGGCAAGCGUUGUCCGGAGUUACUGGGCGUAAAGCGCACGCAGGCGGUCGGCUGCGUAGGUGGUGACAGUCCUCGGCUUACCUGAGGAAGCGCUGCCUAAACGGGUCGACUUGAGGGCCAGAGAGGGACACGGAACUCCGGGUGGAGCGGUGAAAUGCGUAGAUAUCGGGAGGAACACCUGUGGCGAAAGCGGCUCACUGGACCACAACUGACGCUGAGGCGCGAAAGCUAGGGGAGCAAACAGG
rnacentral:rRNA from 1 species